GGGGAAUAUUGCACAAUGGGCGGAAGCCUGAUGCAGCAACGCCGCGUGCGGGAUGACGGCCUUCGGGUUGUAAACCGCUUUCGCCUGUGACGAAGCGUGAGUGACGGUAAUGGGUAAAGAAGCACCGGCUAACUACGUGCCAGCAGCCGCGGUGAUACGUAGGGUGCGAGCGUUGUCCGGAUUUAUUGGGCGUAAAGGGCUCGUAGGUGGUUGAUCGCGUCGGAAGUGUAAUCUUGGGGCUUAACCCUGAGCGUGCUUUCGAUACGGGUCGACUUGAGGAAGGUAGGGGAGAAUGGAAUUCCUGGUGGAGCGGUGGAAUGCGCAGAUAUCAGGAGGAACACCAGUGGCGAAGGCGGUUCUCUGGGCCUUUCCUGACGCUGAGGAGCGAAAGCGUGGGGAGCGAAC
rnacentral:rRNA from 1 species